GCCCCACCAGAUUGCUUUGCCCUGCCAAAUUUAAAACAAUAUCCAGUCUAAAGGUACACCACUUGCCAACAUCUUAAAAAAAUGAUAAGCAUCAGGAAAUUUUUAGCCAUUUUCAGUAUCUUGUUAAAAGUCAAUUUAUCAUUUGUCAUUAAACAUGUUAGGUGAACAGCAAGUCAGGAAUCUGUAUCUAGCAAAUUAUGAAAAAAAUCAAGCGGCCUACCCUGCAAGAAAUAAGCUUGUAGUAAAGACAAACGUGUCCAUCAAUAGGGUGUCAAAUCUCAACUUUCAUAAAGAAAGGAUAAUCACAAAAGAGCAACACAAAGAUUCCUAAACCUGGAAAAAAGAAUGGACUGUUAAGGAAUUGUCGGUGCAAUUACAUAUGAGGUCUUGUAUCCUAAUGCUUUACUUUUUGGCUUUACUUUUUCUAACUUGAUCAAGAAACGCAAUUCCCUUCCACUUUCCCUUUGUGUUAUAAGUAAUCAGAGUUGCUACCCUUAUAUUAUGCUUCACAUCCAAUUAAACUAUAUUCUGAUACACCCAACCUGGAACCAAUCUUUUUCUUUUGCAUCUUUAAUGGGUAAUUAUCAUUAGCUUUCCUUGAAGAGUAAGGAAAACGCAACCACUGAAGUGGAGAUUUACAGGCACUUCUUAGACUAUUAUGAACAGUGAAAUGGAUCAUUCAUUACACCAGAAAAAUGCAUGAACUUGCCACUACCAAAUAGGGAAUCCACCUUUUCCCGCGAACAAACAAAAUUAAUAAUCCAAAUAACGUUUUCCAAAU
rnacentral:misc_RNA from 1 species